GUCCUUUGGGAUAGCGCAGCUGGCAGAGAAUGAGAGUCUUAAUCUCAGGGUUGUGAGUUCGAGACCCACCUUGGAUG